CGGUAGCUAAAUGCGGAAGAGAUAAGUGCUGAAAGCAUCUAAGCACGAAACUUGCCCCGAGAUGAGUUCUCCCUGACUCCUUGAGAGUCCUGAAGGAACGUUGAAGACGACGACGUUGAUAGGCCGGGUGUGUAAGCGCAGCGAUGCGUUGAGCUAACCGGUACUAAUGAACCGUGAGGCUUAACCUUACAACGCCGAAGGUGUUU
rnacentral:rRNA from 2 species